rnacentral:tRNA from 2 species
GGUGGUAUAGCCAAGUGGUAAGGCAGUGGUCUGCAAAACCGUGAUCGCCGGUUCGACUCCGGUUACCACCUC